rnacentral:rRNA from 1 species
CAGCCGCCACGGUAAUACGUAGGGUGCAAGCGUUAAUCGGAAUUACUGGGCGUAAAGCGUGCGCAGGCGGUUAUGCAAGACAGAUGUGAAAUCCCCGGGCUCAACCUGGGAACUGCAUUUGUGACUGCAUGACUAGAGUACGGCAGAGGGGGAUGGAAUUCCGCGUGUAGCAGUGAAAUGCGUAGAUAUGCGGAGGAACACCGAUGGCGAAGGCAAUCCCCUGGGCCUGCACUGACGCUCAUGCACGAAAGCGUGGGGAGCAAACAGGAUUAGAUACCCGGGUAGUCCCUGUCUCUUAUAC